GUGGGGAAUUUUGGACAAUGGGCGCAAGCCUGAUCCAGCAAUGCCGCGUGCAGGAAGAAGGCCUUCGGGUUGUAAACUGCUUUUGUCAGGGAAGAAAUCUUCUGGGCUAAUACCCCGGGAGGAUGACGGUACCUGAAGAAUAAGCACCGGCUAACUACGUGCCAGCAGCCGCGGUAAUACGUAGGGUGCGAGCGUUAAUCGGAAUUACUGGGCGUAAAGCGUGCGCAGGCGGCUUUGCAAGACAGAUGUGAAAUCCCCGGGCUCAACCUGGGAAUUGCGGUUGGGACUGCAAGGCUGGAGUGCGGCAGAGGGGGAUGGAAUUCCGCGUGUAGCAGUGAAAUGCGUAGAUAUGCGGAGGAACACCGAUGGCGAAGGCAAUCCCCUGGGCCUGCACUGACGCUCAUGCACGAAAGCGUGGGGAGCAAACAGGAUUAGAAACCCGUGUAGUCC
rnacentral:rRNA from 1 species